rnacentral:rRNA from 1 species
AGGACGAACGCUUGCGACGUGCCUAAGAAAUGCAAGUCGAACGGGGUAGCAAUACCUAGUGGCGAACGGUCGCGUAACACGUGGGCAACCUGCCCUGGAGCGGGGGACAACAUACCGAAAGGUGUGCUAAUACCGCAUGUGGCCUCUCUUGGCAUCAAGAGACGGCUAAAGAUUUAUCACUCCAGGAUGGGCCUGCGGCCUAUCAGCUAGUUGGUGGGGUAACGGCCUACCAAGGCUUCGACGGGUAGCUGGUCUGAGAGGACGAUCAGCCGGAUUGGGACUGAGAUACGGCCCAGACUCCUACGGGGGGCAGCAAUUAGGAAUCUUGCACAAUGGGCGAAAGCCUGAUGCAGCGACGUCGCGUGGAGGAUGAAAUCUUUCGGGAUGUAAACUCCUUUUACCAGGGAAGAAAAUGUAGACGGUACCUGGGGAAUAAGCCCGGCUAACUACGUGCCAGCAGCCGC